AUGGCGCGGUCAUCUUCUCCUCUCGUCAACAAGGCUUCGCCCAUCGAGCAGCGCCGCCUGCUCCGCGCUCGACGUUCAUCAAAGCGUGUCACCGCUUUGAGCCCGGAGGCGCUCCUUGAUGCCACCCUCCCUGGCGCCGAGCAACCUGUGCCGGUGGUGCAGCAGGAUGCCGCCACGGCUCUGAAGCGAGAUGCUACUCUCUCAGAUGAGACUCUGGCGGUUCACGCCGGGGAGAAGAUGGGGAAGAACGGCGCCAUGGACACUGACUCGAUCGCGACACCUAUUGUGAGCGGCACGACGCACUGGUUCAAGAGCUCGGGCGACCUCAUCGCGUUCAAGGAAGGCCGGCGCCACAGCAUCGAGUACGGCCGCUACGGCAACCCCACUGUGAAGGUCCUAGAGGACAAGAUCAGUGCACUGGAGAGGGCCGAGUCGACGCUUGUCACGUCCUCGGGAAUGAACGCCAUCGUUGCCACGCUGCUUGCGCUCGUACUGCCCGGUGCCGGCCACGUGGUGACCACGACUGAGUGCUACAGCGAGGCACGCGCCUUCAUCCGCGACAAGCUCUCCAAGAUGGGCAUCAAGGUGACAUUCAUCGAGCUGAACGACAUGGACACGCUCAAGGCCGUUCUUGACCAUGGCGACGUGACACUCUUCUACACUGACUGUCCGACGAACCCCCACCUCAAGUGCAUCGACAUUAAGCUCGUCGCGGAGCUGUGUCACCGCAAAGGGGCUCUAGUGUGCAUCGACAGCACCCUCGCCUCGCCCAUCAAUCAGAAGCCGCUCACCCUCGGGGCCGACAUCGUCGUGCACUCUGCCACAAAGUACAUUGCCGGCCAUCACGACGUCAUUGCAGGAUGCAUCAGUGGCUCGGAUGCGCUCAUCUCUAGGAUCCGUGCGUGGCAUCACGACCUCGGCGGCGCCAUUAGUCCGGUAUGUAGUAUAUAUUAA
rnacentral:rRNA from 1 species